ACGAAGAUCUUGGGUCAGCCAUAUGCCAGAAACGGCAUCCAUGCAUAGGUUUCCUCAUUAGCAUGGCAAGCUCAGCGCCGUCUUUUCAGCUGGGCAUCUUCAGCGUAUUGUUCUUCGUUUUAUUCUAUUUUUUUCAAUUAUGUGUUCUUCUAAAUACUGGAUUGAGCUUCCCUAAAGUUCCACCGUGGGUUACAACUGAUGCUGCAGGUGAUGCUGCUGUCGCAGAUGCUUCAAAAGGAGCACGCCAUUCAAGGAACUGUGGGUCAACCAAUGGUAACAUCCGCCCCCCUCCCGUUCUGACCCGUCACUGCUCUUGUCAACGGAGCAGAUUUCCGCAAUCGGGCAAUAGUUUAGGGCUAAAAACAGGAGGAAAUCAAAACCCUAGCGCGUAGUCAAGACAUGGUGGUGAGGGCAGCUCCGCAGGAACCCCAGGCGGUGAUCACGAGAUCGGUAGGCCGUUUACUUCCGGUCCUGAUCUCUCCGCCUUUUUAUGGCUUCUCCUUGAUCUUUUUGCUUAAUCAACAUUUCCUCCCGCCCUCCAUGAAGACCUUCAGAAACUCUUGGGACUGGUCAGUAGGUUCGCCCCUCCCAAACACCGUGGAAAGUAGGGAUAGGUUCCAGCGAUCCAACGUGCCUCCGAAGACGCGCGAACGUGACUGCCCGCGGAGUAUUGAAAAGAAUCGGGUCGUUAGCAUCAACUUCUAGAAAAGCGGAAAGAUCCAGCUGCGCCGCCUACUAGGCAUCUACCGUUGAGAUGACGUUGAUAACUGCCGCUUUAUUGUGCGACCCUCCUGUCGACGUUUUUGAGAAUAUUUACGAUUUUCUUUCCCCCAUCAGUCAUCUCUCUCAAUCAUGCGAAAUCCAUUUGCAUCCUCCUAGUAUUUUUCUUUCUGAUCUGACACCGAUUCAGGCCUUGAAAAAUCCAUCCGAUCUCCUUUGUGUUCCUCCACUGAUAAAUUAUGAAAGCAUCUGUGCUUUGAGGUCAUGCAACCCUUCAAAACGCAAAAGAAAUGGACUUACAAGGAAGAUGAGAUAGAUGGAUAGAUCGAUAGAUAGGUGUGUAGAAAGGUAUAUAGAUAGAUAGAUAGAUAGUGGAUAGUAUAGAGAGAGAGAGAGAGAGAGAGAGAGAGAGAUUAACUUAGC
rnacentral:lncRNA from 1 species